ACUGUAAAGGAAGCAGAGACAGACACACCUUACUCAAGAUGGAGUUCCACAGAGGUAAAUUCUUAAAGGCACAGAGGACUGGACUGCAUAGCUCUUCCUGACUCAGAUGAGAUGAAAUCCUUCUCUCCCCCUGCCUCUUGCCAGCACACAUAUCAUCCCUCCUCCUCACAUCUCUCAUAGCAUGUUACCAUCUUCAUCUUGCCUUUACUACCUCAUUAAUAACACUGGCUAGCAGCUCAAUAUGUGUCAAGUCUCCUUUGCCUGUUCCUCUCUCAUUGCCAGUUAGCAUUGUUUGGUACGUUAUCUGUGCUACGGCUGUAAUUCUGGAAAGCCUUACUCAAUCAUUAGGCUCAGGGCAUUACCAUCUCUUGCUCUCUGUCCAGGGAUGGGGCACAUGCAGUGAUCGCAAUGUCUUUGCACUACAACUCUAUUGCGUAGGUAGCAUGCCCAGCCUCUCAGUGCCGGAGCCGUGUGUACUGACUGCAUUCUAAUCACAAUGCUUGUUGCUCUCGCUGCCCUGCCUUCAGCGUCAGGUGAGGAGACUAAGGGUGGAAGUGCUUGGAGACCAGGAAGCACUGUGGGAAGCAGGCACCAGGCUGGGGCCACUCGAAUGGCAAGCAUCUCUUUCACCACAUAUUUUCUGUGUGGAUUUUGGAGUGGAACUAAGUAAAUAUAGCCACAGUUCAAGAUCCCCAUAUGCCUCUUUUCUCCAUGAGUCUGAGCAGUUUUUUCCCAAGUGAGCCAGCCAGCCAAUGUGGUCUGUUUUGCUUGGUUGGCGAGUUCUCAAAGGAGCCAAAUAGUCCUGAUGCUUAGCAUGAAGUCGGGCUUUAAAAGUGCAUCCACCUUUCUCAGGUUGUAGAGGAGGUGCUUGGCGGCUGACAUUGUCAAUUUGACAGAAGCUAGAGUCACCUGGGAGAUAAGCCUCUGGGACUGUCUGGAGGGAUUAUUAGAUUGGGUUAUCUUUGGUGAGAGGGCCUAUCUUAAUGGAGGGCACCAUUCCAUGGGCUAGGGUCCCAAACUGAACAAGCCGAACCUCAAGCUCCUGCUGCCACGCCCACCCCACCGUGAUGGAUUGCAGCCUUGAACUGUGAGUCAAAAUGAACUCUUUCUCUCUCGUUGGUUUUGCUAGGGUAUUUUACGGCAGGGAUGGGAAAAGUCACUGAGACAAGGUGCUGUGUCUUAUUGAGGCUGAUCAGUCUACUCAAAGCCAGAAAGCAAGUGAGUUACAUGGCAGAACCUAGAACCAGGUUUUAGAUGUGACUUUGGGGUUCUUUCUCUGUGUCCUGGCUACUGUCACUGAGGGUGACAAUAAUGAUUAUAUAGUAAAAGAACCAAAAAAAAAAAAAAAAAGAAAACCCCAACCCAAAAACAAAAACCAACCAACCAGCCAACAACAACCACCUCCACCCCACCCCACCCCCAUGACAACAGCUAACUUCCUUGAGCAUUGGCUGAGGGACAACACUCUCUUCGGUGACUUACAUGGGCAUACUAACUUAACCUUGAGACAGACUCUCAAGGGUCGAUGUCAAGGGGGCUGGCUGUGUCAUGCUUCCUGUUUGACCCCACCGCUUAGGACUGCCUGGCAUAGAGAAGAUGUUCAGCUGGUUACUGAGUGAAUAAAUGGACAAGCCAAGUAAGUAUCCUCAGGUCUCCCCAUCUGCAAAUAAAGAAACUAAGGCACUGAGACCUGCCUGUUUCACAGCUAGUGAACAGCAGUAAGAUUCCAAACAGCUCUACUCAAGCAUCUGCCUCCUAGCCACUGCCCCGGCAGCACCCCUUCCCUUCUCCCCGUGCCUCGAGGGGCACUCCUGAGCAUGUGGUAGUCUCCUUUAAUCUUAAUCCCUCUGCAUUAUUCUCAUUUUAUAGAAUUAAAAGCCAUGGUCACCACACACUGGAGCCAACAUUUAAGCAAGGUCUUUUGGGCAAAUUCAGCCCCACUCUCUUCUUAAGGCAUCCCUUAACACUCAUCCCGACAGUGUGCUCAGACACCAACACAUUUAAAAGCUAACGUGAGCCAAGCAUCCCCACUCGGGCUCCACACCAUCAAUGGAAAGGAGACCCGACAGCAGGAGUUUGCGGAUCUGUCUGCUGAUCCCCUGCUCACACUGACUUCUGGGCCCUCUGUUGUGGUUCGAGGACUAUGUGGGAGGUACAGGUAUGACACUAUGCACUGGGAUGUUCCCUCCAGGCUUGCUACCCUUCCUCAAACUCCCCUUUCUGCCACUGCGUCGUGUACCACUGUUCUGUCUUUGGCAAGAUGCAGUGCUGUUGGGAAUCAGCUUCUUACUAGCCAAGAGCUCCGAGUUCCAUGUCCGGAGGGCGGCGUCUAUCCCAGUCAUUGUCCCAGCUCUUAACAAAGAACCUGAUCCAGGCUAGACAGACAGUGAGGGCCAGCUGGGUUGAACUAAACCAUAAUAUAAUUCCAGUUUCAAAUGAUAGGAUUCUAUCGUGCGUCUAGGGGAACCCGAUGAGAGAACCCAGAGAUCCUUUCUCAGAGACCCAGUGCUCUGGUACAGGGCCAGUGCCUGGUGCCCUUCAAGUCCUUCUGCUGACAGUGAAUAAAGUCUAGUUCACACUUUACUCCCCACAAGAAGCUCUAAGCCAGUGCGAAACUGUGAGUGGUGGCUAAAACCGGGAAAUGAGGUUAUUGGUGGGCUUCUGCUCCCCAGAUCCUAGCAGCUUCCAGCUCCAUGCCUGGGUCAGUGGGUGGCCCUGAGACAUAAUGACCCGUGGUCUCCUGCUGCCUGUUAGGAUGCUUGGGAACAUGGCUCCUCUUGAUUUAGCAGAGAAGUGGGGGGGGGGGGGGAAGAACCAUGCCUGAAAGUUGGGGAGAUGCUCUACGGGUCAAGGUUGUGGACAGGGGGUCUGGAUCCCUAGAACUCCCAUUUAAAAAAACAAAACAAACAAACAAACAAAAAAAAAAAAGGUUGGGCACGUGACUGUAAUGUCAGCACUGCUACCAUAAACUGAGGCAGAGACAGGAGACUUCCCAUGAGUUUAAAAGCCAGGAAGCCUGGUGUGCUGGCUAGUCUUAUGUCAGCUUGACACACAAGCUAGAGUUAUCUGAGAGGAGGGGACCGCAAUUGAGAGAAUGCCUCCAUAAGAUCUGGCAGUUGGGCCUUUUCUUAAUUAGUGGUUGAUGGGGGAGGGGAGGGGAGGGCCCACCCCACCCCAUUGUGGAUGGUGCCACCUCUGGGCUGGUUGUCCUGGGUUCUAUAAGAAAGCAGGCUCAGCAAGCCAUGAGCAGCACCUCUCCAUGGCCUCUGCAUCAGCUCCUGCCUCUAGGUUCCUGCCUUCUUUGAGUUCCUGUCCUGACUUUCUUUGGUAAUGAACUGUAAUAUGGAAGUAUAAUCCAAAUAAAUCAUUCCCUCCCCAAGUUGCUUUAAUCGUGGUGUUUCAUUGCAGCAAUUGUGACCCUAACUAAGACACCUGGUGUAGGCAGUGACUAACAAGAGACCCUGUCCAAAAAAGGUGAAAGGUGAAAACCGAGGUUGCCCUCUGAGCUACACACACACACACACACACACACACUAAAAACAAACAAAAAAGUCAUAAUCGAAAGCAGUUAGGAAGAUCCUAUACCCUCUUGAACUCAGCCACAUUCUACAACGUUGGCUCCCUCUGGUCCUCCUGGGCUGGGGAGGCACUGCUACAGGUGACUCUGUGACCCUGGAGAAGCCCCAUCAACUCCAAAUGUAAGCAGAGAGCAACCCAAGACUGUCCCUCGGGUGGCUGCAGAGCAGAAUUAAUGACACCACACAUGGUGGGUUUGACAUGGCACUUGGCAGAGAGAAGGCAGCCUGAAUGGCAUUAUUAUUUAAGUGAGAUUCUCUAAGACUCAACGGCAGACAAGUGGGUCAGGGCAACAUGCAGGAAGAAGGAAUAAGAGGCUGAGGUAAGGCCAGGGUCUAAACCCAGGAAACAUGACACGGAGGGCCAUGAUUCACACAGUUCAGGGCUGCUAUUUGCCCCAGAAGGGUCUUAAAAGGAAAGACUGUCUAAUAGGGAGUCUUAUAAAACGUUGGCUCAUAAACAGCCCAGGCUUAGGUCAACUGGCAGAAGACAGGGACCCUCAAGACAACAAUUUGGAGGAACAGACCCUGUAAGUCAGGGGGCCUGGACUUCGCUGAAUCUAGCCCUCCUCCUGGUGAGUGCUGGAGCGAUGGUGUCAUUUACCCCACACAGAAGGUAUGGAGGUAGAACCAUCUACCUCCCCUCCCCAACAGCGUUCUGUCAGUCCCAGCCUCCCUGAGAGCCCUGAGAAGGUGUCCUGACCACCCUUCCUGACAGCGUGCACCCGUCAGGGAAAAGGAUGGCGGGCCAAAGUGAGGCAUGCCCUGAGCAGUCGGCUGGGUCGAGGCUCAGAGAAGGAAGAGACGUGUUCUGCUUUGUGUGCUGCCCAACUGCAGGGCUGUACUGGAACCUUACUUCUGUGUAGGAAGUCUUUGUCCAUAUGGCCAAGAACACCUGUUCAUAGAAGCAACUUAUCACCCAUUCAUGUCUUCCCAGACUUGAAUACACCAUGUGUGUGUGCGUAUAUGUGUGUGUCUGUGUGAUUAGGGGAGCAGGGGUGGGCUGGCUCAUGAUCACGUGACCUUCGAUUGAAAAGCAGUCAGCACUUCCAGCUUGUUCUACACCAAUGCAUCCUGAGACAGGCCAUAGCUUUCAGUUCCCAUUCUCUGUCACAGUCUUGGAGGUAUGCGUGGCAUUCAGGGUCACAUGCAAGGGUCCUUUGCAUGACAUUGUGUGCUGCCCAACUGCAGCCACCAUGUUGACACGCGUCCUCUUAGGUCACUUAGCCCUCCUGUCUUGGCUGACCCAUUCAACAAGAACAAUAAGAAGAAUGCAAUCCAGGGAAGGGGACAGGGUGGGAACACCACUUGAAUAUUUACCAAGAUACUUUCUUCUUUCCCUUUUAAAAACAGAAACAGAAGGAGCACAGCCCCUGGCGGGACACCUUACACUGGAUGAUGAGUCUGCGGUGCUCAUCCCGAGAGUCCUCCAUGGUAUACAGAGUCUGCUUGGUGAUGCUACUCAGGUCCACAUUCCUCCAGUCCUCCAGCAUCUGGAACGUGAUGUCUGCACUGUGGAUCACCGUUCGAGAUGCCUGAAAUCCAAUCCAACCAACUUGUCAGCACAUAGGCUGUCAGGGACUUACUGGCUAACUCCUGCUCCUGCCGCUUGUCCUGUUUCAGCUCCAGCAGCCAUUUCCUAAUGAUGCUAUUUGGGGGUACAGAUUUCAGAGUCAUACACAAGCCACGCUCGCAGGUGUGAGAAAUGAUGGCAUCAAUCAACCAUAUGGUGUGACUGGCCAGUGGAGUGACUAACUGCUGGUGUGACUAGCCGCUGGCGUUCCUUGGCUUGACUUCUUCAAAAUGAUGGACUAGAAUUGUAAGUAGAAUGAACUCUCUCUUCCCCUAUGUUGCUUUUGGUCAGGAUGUUUCUUCUCAUUGAAAAAGAAUGUGCGUGCACGUGUGUGUGUGUGUGUGUGUGUGUGUGUGUGUGUGUGUGUGUGCAUCAAAUCCUCUAGCUUGGAGUUACAGGCAGUUGUAAGCCAUUCAAGGUAGGUGCUGGGAUCAGAGCACAGGUUCUCUCUCUCCUAAGAGCAGUCAUUCUGACCGCUGAGCUGUCUCUCCAACGUUGUCAGGGAGUUUAUCACAGCAACGGAAACAAAAUGAGGACAAAUAUCAGAGUCUAUUUUUAGAACAAUGCCACGUGUAGUUGGCUAUUGGUGAUUUAUGAGAACGUCUUAAAGAGAAACACUACAUUUAUUUAAUCUCACACUAAUAGCAGGUAUCAACAGCCCAUCAAAAAGGGGUGGGGGGAAUGUCCCCACCUCCAAACUACUCUUCCAUGAAUGUGGCACCUCGAUACUUUGUGUUCAAUCUGCUAAGCACUGAGGGAAACCUUGCUUCUCAUGCUAGUUGCUGAGAGGAGAAAUUGCCCCCAUGCUGAAGGUCCUCUGAGUGAUACGCAGGAUCUCAGAGAACGGGCACCGCGGUGGGUAUGGGAGGUGCCAGGCCCCAGAGGAGCCAUGUGCUGGCAGCAGGUCAGCCGCCAUGGCUCGACAGGCCACUUUCCAUUUGAAAAUGCUCAGUGUGAAUAGGGGUGAUUGUGUGGCUGGGAUUCCAGCGGUGCCCAGCAUCCCCAGCGAGGUGGGAUUUACUCACCCCCGUGACCGAGGGUGCUGGAAAGGGUUUGGCAGGAGCCCUUUGACAAUAUUUGCCUGUUUUCUGCUGGAAGCAGCCUUCAGAUCAUGUGGCCCCGAUUCUUUUUUUGCUGCUUGGCAGUUAGUUAUUUGUUCUCAGAGGAGGCCUGGUGUCUCCAGGGUGGUGGGGAGGGGGCUCUGGAGGGGAGGGGACAGAAGAGAAGCAAAUCACUCCUAACCCAGUUCUAGUAGCAAGCCAGGUUGUCCUGGUGGGGCAGAGGGGAUGGGUGCUGUCAGCUCUCCCUGAGGGCUGCAACUGUCGCAGGAGACAGAGGACAGCCUGAAGGACAGAAACGCCUCAGACAGAAGGUUUGUGUGUGUAAGUGUUCUGUGCUGCAGGUAAAGCAGAAACUGUCUGACAGGCAGUUUCGCAACCCUGUCACCAUCCCACAUGUAGGUACCAGCUAUUAUUGUCCUGGCUUGCAUAAAGGGAGUCCCACGUGAAAACCUUCUUUGGGGUCCUGUCUAUAAAUCAGAGAUGAGAUUUGGACAGACCUAAAAUCCUCACCAAGAAAAAAUCCAGGAAGCUCAAUUCUGCUGCUGCUCUCCAUAAAGCACCGAGUGCCACUUACAAUGAAGUGAUCUCUUAAUCUUUGAAUGUGUGUGUGUGAGAGAGAGAGAGAGAGACAGACAGACAGACAGACAGACAGACAGAUAGACAGAUAGAGGCAGAGAGGAGAAUGAGCAGGUGUGCAUUGCCAUGGCAGGUGUAUGGAGGUCAUUUCUGUCUCACCCUGUGGGUUCCAUGGUUCAGACUAGGGUUGCUAGGCGUGGUGGCAGGUGCUUUUGCCCACUGAGCCACCUCUCUAUCCUGAGGUUAAUUCUUUAUUAGCUAAUCUGGUGUGACAUCACUAAUCUGUCAUGACAUCACUCAUCUGGUGUGAUGUCACUAAUCCACUGUGGUAUCUCUAAUUUGGUGUGGCAUCACUAAUCCACUAUGGCAUUACCAGUCUGGUGUGGUAUCACUGAUACACUGUGACAUCACUAUUCCACUGUGACAUCACUGAUCUGGGUGUGACAUCAGAAUGCUCUUAUAAGGAAUAAAGCAAGCUCUGAAUCUAUGGAAUUUGGCUGAUACUAUGAAGCAAUAGUAUAACACAUGGUGUGCCUUUUAUAGAGAGAAUAUAAAUAAAAUAAAAAAUUAAAAACACACAGUGCUUAACUCCCACAGGUACUUGCAUAUAAUGCAAACAUUCACACAUCUUAAAGAAAACAGUUCUUUUUAAGGAAGAAGCAAAAAUCUAUACUGACAAUGGGCUUUAGCCUAAUUUUCAGUUUAUUUUUUAAACAAGGAAAUGUGUUAUUUGCACUAAUAGCAGAAGAAACAGGGGGCACUUUUGACUGCAUUAAUAUCCUGGCUUUUCUAAGAUCCAAACAAAGUAUAAACGGUGAGCAUUACCCAAAGGAGAGAGAGGAGUGUGCAAAGGUAGGCAAGCGUCCCUGGAUUUUUGGACAGAUCACUAAUAAAUCAGCUCAGACUAAUCUCUGAGUUCCCAGGCAGCCAGAGCGAAAAGGGAGACACACGGUAAAUCAACUGCUGUUAUCUGCAAAACGAGGGAUGGGUCCAGUUCCUUUGGAGAGAGACAGCUUUCAGACUGAAAGUAUUUUUUAAAAACAUAAUUAGUUACAAGGACAUUUUGUGGUGAGUUUAAGUAUGACUCUUCGUAUUCAAGUUUAGAGGAAUGGUCCCACACAUAACCCCCUACCCUCACCCCCAUCCCCCACUUCCACUUCCCCCUCUACUUCCCUUUCUACUUCCCCUCUCAUCAGUUUCUGGUGUGUGUGUGUGUGUGUGUGUGUGUGUGUGUGUGUGUUGAGACAGGGCGUCACAUGGCUGCUCGGACUUGAUAAGGCAGAGGCUGGCCUUUAGCUCCUGGUCCUCCUGCUUCCUCCGAAUACACUCAUGGGUAAGCAGCAUGAGCCCCUCAUCUGUAUCACAGCGCUCGCUCCUUACAGGCUGUGCCACCUAUGGUACCUUGACCAAGCCCAGCCUGCUCCCUUCCUGGAAUGCCUUUGCAUGUGACCAGACAGCACUCAUGAAUAAGGUCACAACCGGCAUGGGAAGUGGGUUUCUGAGGCUGAGUCCCCGGAAGAGGAAUCUUCCUUGGCAGAACAUGAAUACUGCCUUUCCCAAAGCAUUAUGUCCUCCCACUGGCUUAGGUGCAGUGGUGGGUGUGGGUGGUGAUGGAGGCAAUUAAAGGCUUAAUUCUUUGCUGGGCUUGACAGAGGCUCAUCUCUGAGAGGACGUGGAGACCUCAAAACUGCCCAAGCUGUCUCCUGAAGCCAGAGUCACAGUCUCUUCCCAGCCCAGCUCCUCAGGAAUCUGCUUCAACAACAACGAGACAUGUGGAACCUGGGCACAGGCUGAACACACUACUAUAUGCUCAUCUUGUAGAGUGGAGAGCCCAGCUACAGCCUCAGGGCACUGUAGUGGCCAUGUCUGGAUGUUCCUCCGGCCCUAGCUUCCACAGGUCAAGGUGUCAGAGAGGGUUUGCUGUUGUUAUACAUCUCUCCACUGAAGCAUCACCUCGGAGAUGCUUUCCCUUACUGCUCACUAGAAUAGAGCUACCCUCUAAGUCUCUACCCUCUAAGUCUCUCACAGCUGAGACCACCGGCUGAUGUGUACAAGGUCCCUUUAAAAAAAUACCACUGUGGAUGUAGCUCAGUUGGUAGAGUGCUUGCCAAGCUUGCCCAAAGCCCUGGAUAAACCGGGUGUAGUACCUGGCUUACACUGUAAUCCCUAAAUGCAGGAGGUAGAGGCCAGAGAGAGUUCAAGGCCAGCCUGGGCUACAGACCCUAUCUCAAAAACAAACUAAUAAAUAAAUAUUUAGAUAGAUAGAUAGAUAGAUAGAUAGAUAGAUAGACAGACAGACAGAUAUACAUAAAAAUUGUAUGAUUCUGCUUGUCCAGCAGUCCUCUUUUUUAUCCCAUUAGGACCAGCCGUGACACACAGUAGGUAUUCACUAAGCAUUGCUUGAAUUUAGUUAAUGACUGAAGCUAUGUUAACAUGCAACAGAAAGGAAAUUGGUGUUGGAUUUAAUAUUCCUAAAUAUACACAUUUUCAAAUCUGUUUUGCUCCAUGUCUGCAUGGGAUGAAAUUGGUUCUAGAAUGUUCCACCUGACCUUGUAUUCCAAAGCACAAAUCUCUGAUGGAGAACCAGAUGCUGCAGACAUAGAAUACAGGAAGGAGGCCUGUCCUGUUCUGGGUGACCCUUUGGGGACUCAUACAGAAGGAGUGUGCUGAGGACCUGUCUACAUGGCACUGUCUGAGCCAGGCAGGUCAUCUUCAGGAUGACACAACUCUUACCUCCAUUGCACUAGUAUGUAAACUGAGGCAGAGAAAGGCUGAGGACCUGGCCUGAGGCUGGCAAGUGACACAGCUGGGAUCUAACUACAGUCUGAUGUCAGAGUCAGAUGAUGCAAUCUCACCAUUCCAGGCAGAUGCUCAAGAAUCACAGAAAAACAGGUGUCACAAGAGGUGAGUGGCUAGGGGAAAUCCAUUUAGAAUCCCUGCCCCACAUUUUCAGCAGAGGUGGGAAGAACAGGAUCUCAUGUAGCCAGGCUGAUCUCAAACUCACUACGUGUAAGGGAGAAGCUGAAUUUAACCCUCUUGUUCCACCUUUCACAUGCUGGAAUUACAGGCAAGAGUUACCACAUGUGGUUUAUCACAUAUUGGGCAUUGAAGCCAGGCUCCCUGUACCUAGGGCAAGUGCUCAUCCAACUGAGCCUCAUCCCCAGGUGACAGGCUUCUGGCUAAUUCUUGCAGAGACAAGAGGAAGAUAAGUGAGGGCAGGCAUCCCGAAGGAUGUCAGCUCCCGUUACGAGAGUGUCAGCCAUCAGCUAGCUCUGUCACCAGAUAACACAGGUGGCUUCCGAGACUCCUUUCUAGACCUUUUGCUUGUCCCCCUUAUGUGUCUUUCUUUAUGUGUGUUCUUUCUCAUUGAAGUUCUGCUAGCAAGCUGGCUCUGGAGACUCCUGGAUGGAGACCUGAGAUCUAUCUAGGUGCCUUCUCCUCUGCUGUCUUUCCUUCCUCUCUGCAUACAUCCACCCAGAGACUAAACCACAACACAGUCCUCAUAGCCACUGGCUUCUUUUCUCCAUCCAAUCCUUCAGCUUCCUCUUCCCAAGAACCAGGUUGGCAGUUAGAACCCCAGCCAGAUUCCUGGCUCCUCCCACUUAAAAAGCAGUGGCCCACCAAUGACAUGACGUAACUGUCUCAGUGUUCUUUCCUCCUAUGGAAAACGGACACAGCAAUAGGAAUGCCAUUGACCUAGAUGACAUAGAGCAGGUAAGAGAACCCCACUCAGGAGCUGGCAUGGAAUUGAUGUGAUACCUUCCCUUCUCCAAACCUGUCCCUCCCCUUGACUUCUGGGUUCCUUUGAGUUCACUGAGCCAGACUGCUAAGAGAAGAAAAGCCUUCAACCGCCAAAAUUCUCUAGGACGGGCCUCAUGUCAGAGGCUCAAAGCCACAGCACAAUGUUCAAAUAAAGCUUUGAGAAGAAAGCCCCUCUCUCUACAUUUCACCAAGUCCAGGAAUUUCAAAUAAUAAAUGGAAAGCCAUUUAGAGGAUUGCUUUUGCUAUUGUUGUAGUGUUAGAAUAAUUAUAUUUCCAUCAACUAUUAAUUUACUCUGGGCUCCUAGGUUAAAAAUGGACAGAAUCUCAUUUCUACCAUUUGUUAAAAUUCCAUCCAUUGUAAUAACAUAUCCUAUUAAAACUCAAUUAACAACAGUUACAUAAAAUCUAAUCCUUACCAGUAUCUUGCUAAUAAGAAUAAAAUUUACUUCCAAAGAAAAGACAUGGGAAAACUCAAACUGCCAGGCUCCAUUUGAGGUGAGCACUUUACCUGCAAACCAAACCGAUUUCUCGAGGGUUAGUAAAUAAGCAUCACAAAGUUGAAAGAGGCAAGUGAUAGCCCGCUCUAGCUAGAAAGAUCUGGGUGGCUCACACUUGCCGAAAGUGGGCACUUACCAUUGCAGGGUGGCCGGCGUGGAGUGGGGCUUGGAUGCUCUGUUAUUUUCUUUUUCCUCAUCUGUUAAAGGAAAGAAAAAAAAGAAGCUGACUUCAGUUGGCAACGGGAGAGGGGGAGGAUCAAAGGCUCCUCAGUAAAUUCCAAGUUUCAAAAAUGGAGGUCUCUCUCGAACGCUGACCCCUUGAAACAACGACGUCUUGGCAGUCCCAACACGCUGGCCUCAUCAUACAUCGGUACAAAGAACACAAGCAAAACAUACUUUUUUUUUCAGACAAGAUUGCACUGUGUAGCUCUGGUUACAUUGGAACCUGGAACUUACUGUGUAGACCAGGCUAGCCUCAAACUCAGAGACUCCACCUGCUUCCUGAGUUAACUAACUCCACCUGAAUUAAAGGCAUGCACCACCACACCUGACCCAGAAAACUGACUUUCUACAGGAGACCCUUAAGUCUGUUUUUCUUUAUUUGACAGCUACAGGUGAGUUGGACAAGCUGCCCUCUGUCAUCACUCACUGCUAAGAGGCUCCUCACCACUAGUGACUUGACAGACAUUUUGGACAUCUGACUCCAUGAUUUGAGGACUUAAGAAUGCAUCAUCUGGGGCUGGAGAGAUGGCUCAGUGGUUAAGAGCACUGACUGC